rnacentral:rRNA from 1 species
AGUGAACGCUGGCGGUAGGCCUAACACAUGCAAGUCGAACGGCAGCACAGUAAGAGCUUGCUCUUACGGGUGGCGAGUGGCGGACGGGUGAGGAAUACAUCGGAAUCUACUUUUUCGUGGGGGAUAACGUAGGGAAACUUACGCUAAUACCGCAUACGACCUACGGGUGAAAGCAGGGGAUCUUCGGACCUUGCGCGAUUGAAUGAGCCGAUGUCGGACUAGCUAGUUGGCGGGGUAAAGGCCCACCAAGGCGACGAUCCGUAGCUGGUCUGAGAGGAUGAUCAGCCACACUGGAACUGAGGCACGGUCCAGACUCCUACGGGAGGCAGCAGUGGGGAAUAUUGGACAAUGGGCGCAAGCCUGAUCCAGCCAUACCGCGUGGGUGAAGAAGGCCUUCGGGUUGUAAAGCCCUUUUGUUGGGAAAGAAAAGCAGCAGGUUAAUACCCCGCUGUUCUGACGGUACCCAAAGAAUAAGCACCGGCUAACUUCGUG